UCUUCUUUUUUUUUUUUUUUCCCUUUCUUCUAUUUUCUCCUACUCAUAAUAAUCUGUUUCAGACAAAGUGUUAUCUGUCGAAGAGGUUUGGUCUCUUUUGAGAAUUAGAUGCUGACUUUUACCUGCUGUUUUUAGCUUAAUUGGGUUUUCAGGAUUUUGAAAUUGAUAUCUGCUGUAUUGAGCCUCAGUUAAUAAUUUUUGCUUUUAAUGUAUAUUAAGACAAACUGGAAUUAGACCUGUUUUGCUCAUGCAGGUAUAAUGCUGUAAUGCAGA
rnacentral:misc_RNA from 1 species